AUUGAACGCUGGCGGCAGGCCUAGCACAUGCAAGUCGGACGGUAGCACAGAGAGCUUGCUCUCGGGUGACGAGUGGCGGACGGGUGAGUAAUGUCUGGGGAUCUGCCCGAUAGAGGGGGAUAACCACUGGAAACGGUGGCUAAUACCGCAUAACGUCGCAAGACCAAAGAGGGGGACCUUCGGGCCUCUCACUAUCGGAUGAACCCAGAUGGGAUUAGCUAGUGGGCGGGGUAACGGCCCACCUAGGCGACGAUCCCUAGCUGGUCUGAGAGGGUGAACAGCCACACUGGAACUGAGACACGGUCCAGACUGCUACGGGAGGCAGCAGUGGGGAAUAUUGCGCAAUGGGCGCAAGCCUGAUGCAGCCAUGCCGCGUGUAUGAAGAAGGCCUUCGGGUUGUAAAGUACUUUCAGCGGGGAGGAAGGCGAUGUGGUUAAUAACCGCAUUGAUUGACGUUACCCGCAGAAGAAGCACCGGCUAACUCCGUGCCAGCCGCCGCGGUAA
rnacentral:rRNA from 1 species